AACGGCCAUGCCAUGCUGAAUAUAUCGGUUCUCGUUAGAUCACCGAAGUCAAAACAUCAUUGGGCGCGGUCAGUACUUGGGUGGGUGACCACCUGGGAACACCGCGUGCCGUU
rnacentral:rRNA from 1 species